UACGUAGGGGGCAAGCGUUGUCCGGAAUUAUUGGGCGUAAAGCGCGCGCAGGCGGCUUUGUAAGUCUAGUGUUUAAUCUCGGAGCUCAACUCCGAUUCGCACCGGAAACUGCAAGGCUUGAGUACAGAAGAGGAAAGUGGAAUUCCACGUGUAGCGGUGAAAUGCGUAGAGAUGUGGAGGAACACCAGUGGCGAAGGCGGGUCUCUGGACAGUUCCUGACACUGAGGCACGAAGGCCAGGGGAGCAAACGGG
rnacentral:rRNA from 1 species